rnacentral:lncRNA from 1 species
AGCUGCACUCAGCUCUUAAAUGCAGCUAUUCACAGAGGGCCCAGGCUCUCCCCUGCCCUGUGACACUACGUGGGACACACACCUCCACAGGGAAUUUGAAGAAUCUCCAGGAGGGCCAGAGAGUAGACUUGGAUGCCACCCAGCCAGCAAUAGAGAAGUUGGGACCACCCAGCCAGGGACAAGGCCACACCUCAGCCAUCACCACCCACAAGCAACGCAGCAUGUAUGAGCUGGGACAGGACACCAGAAACUACCUCAUGAUUGCUCCGGAAGAAGCAGCUGCAGGUGCUCAGCCAUCUUUAUUUCCUGCCACCCCCAAACUAUGAAGACAGCAAAGCAGCCUGUGGAGAGGCUGCUCACAGAGGCAACCCCACCCUUACUUGGUGAUGGCACGUGGAACUCCACCUCCCAGGUGGAAAAUGGAAAAAUUGUUUCCUUCUCUGAUCUACUGCCUGAGCUGUCAUCAGGAUUUUGAGGACUGACUUAAUGAAUAAAAUAUAAAGGCUUAGCGUGAGCCUGGGAUAUGCAUGGUGGAAGAGAAUAAAUAGCCUUUUGUAUAUCAAAGAUACUUUCUGGGUAACCCAAUCUGAGAAAUAGCUACUUCAGCCACAUCUGCUGUUAGGGAAGGCUGAGAAAAUAGUGACUAUAAAAUGAAAUGAGGCUUGUAGGUGAACCACAUGAAAUCCUGUGAACCGGGGAGAAGUCACCAGCUAUUACAAUGGAGUCUAGCUAAGAAGGGGCACGUGGGGGUGGGGAGAUCGUGACCAAUCAACAGUGCAGCUUGAAAAUGUGGGUUUUCUCUUGGGAAGCUUCAUUCCCUGGGAAGGAAGAAGCUAUAACGAAACAGGAGCAAUGAAGCUUUGCCUGGAGAGGAUGCUGCUCACAUUUGCAUGUUAAAUGAACUGAGGCCUCUCCUGGCUCCCCUUGGAGGGCUCUCAGAGGCAGCUCUAGCCUCAGAGGGUCUCUUGCCCACAUCUUACUCUGGUUCAGAGCCCACAUCCCCAAAGAGAGCCUUGUACACAGCAGGUAUUCAAUCAAUAUUUGUAUUAAAUUGCAUUUUAAAAGCUGAUUACUUGAGUGACCCCUUCCCCUACCCACCCCCAAAGACUGUCCUCCAGUAUCUCUUUGUGCAUAUCCUGAAUUCAAGCUGCAGUGAGAGGCUUUAGCAAGAGAGAGAAAACCCACUCUAAAAGCUUCAUUUGCGACAAUUUCCAUUUUAUUUCUCACCACCACCAGCCUUUGGACGAACAGGUCCUAAAGAGCUAUGGAAACAGCAUCGUGGAAACAGCACGAUACAGUUAUUGAAUGACUGGUCUGGGCCAAGCAUUAUUCUCGGCGCUGGGGAUGCAGCAGGGGGCCUGGAUCAUACUCAAGGUCACUAGAUACUUGUUACAUGAGUGAAUGAAGUCAUUCAGUACUCAUUGGCUCCACUGGGCUCUGACUUGCUGGGCAUGACAAGCCCACCAGGGAGCCCUGGAUAUCCCUCCUCUUUCCAAGCAGCUGGGGAAGCUGGUUGCCCUGGAAACCUGUUUUAGGUGGCAGCAUCUUCCUCCAGGAGGUCGAGGUGUCUCCUGGACCUUAGAGACUCCAGGACACAGGACAGAGCUCUGAACUGUGGAGCCGGGAAACCUGGUUCCAGUCUCAGCCCAGAUUUACCAGCCGUAGACUUGGCCAAGUCACUCACAAAACCCAAAGGGUGAGGCAGAGCUGGCCCUGCCUGCAUGGCAGGGAGAUUUUGAGAAGCAUGAAGAGAGUCAGGAAGUGCCUGGGGAUCGAAUCCACCCAGCAGUGCAAGGCAUUGCUCUCCCAAUUCUCCAUUGGGAAAAAAAAAUCCAGACAAAGACAGUACAGAGAAUAUGGUAGCCAAUACUGCAGCAGUCACCACCCGGAAAAACAGACACUAAUAUAAUAACUUGUGAUUUUUGCUUCAUAUCUCUGUGGCAUAAAACCAUGACACAUAAAGUUUAUGUCCCCCUUUAACCAUUCCUCAAUGCUAUUCCCCUCCUCUCUCCCCCUCCUCAACGGCAACCACUGAUAUGUUCGCUCUAUUCUGUGCUUUUCAUAUUUUAAAUAUAUUGUUUAUGGGAAUGAUCAUAUAUAAGAAAUAUAUUAUACUGUUUGUUUUAAAAGUUUGCAUAAAUAAUAUCAAAGUAAAUUAUUUAAGUGUCCCCAGCAGUCCCUGUCCCCGUCCACCUUUCCCUCAGUUCUCUUCCAUCACAGUAAAGAAAACUGCCCAAACCUGGUCACCGCCCCUGGACUUUCGAAGUGGCUUCCUACUUGGGGUCCUGCUUCCAACAUUGGCCCUGUGAGUGACAAGGAUCUCAUUCCUUUUGUGCUCAAAGCUCUGGCCUCUCUCUCCCUCCUUGGCCUUGCCCAGCCCAGCCCCACCCCUGUCCUCAGAACCUCACACCUGUCGUUCCCCACCUGGGGUGCCCUUCCCGCUGGCUGGCCCCUCACCUCUCUCAGAUUUCUGCUCUAAUGACAGUAACUGGAGAGGCCUUGCCUGAAGUCCCCUCCUCUUUCUCCUUACCUUGCUUUUUGGUUAUGCAUCCUCCUCCUAAUUGCUUUAUUUAUUUAUGUGUUUAAUCACCAUCCUCUUACUUUUCUAAGGCUCGUCCUGAUUUUUUUCACAUCCUGGUAUCUGAGCCGGCAGUGAUUCUAUACCUGGCAGCAGCCUGUGCGGCAGAGCUGUGUGUAAAGGGGUCCAUGCAGAGCCCUGGGAGAAAGAAAAAUGAAGGGGAAAAGGUUGACCUGAGCUUUUUCACCUGGGGCUGGAAAGUGGACCAGAGCCUAUCAUUCCAACCUGCAGGUGCCUAAGGCCCAACAGAAAGUUCACCAGGAAAGACCAAGAGAAUUGGGGUGACCCUCCCACAGUAUCAGAGGGAAGGGGAGUGGGGAGGAGUACAGCAGUGCAGACCAGCCCCACAGGUGCUUAGCCAGGCCUUUGGUUCUGCCAGGGAAAGGAGGGUGCCUUCCACAGCAUGAAAACUACACCACGUCCCAAUGUGUCCGGGACCUGCCGCCAGCCGCCUGCACAGUAGUCAGGUGGAUGCCACCGGGAUACAGCCCACACUGACUCCUGACCCCAGGGGGUACAGCCCACGCUGACUCCUGACCCCAGGGGGUACAGCCCACGCUGACUCCUGACCCCAGGGGGUACAGCCCACAUUGACUCCUGACCCCGGGGGUUACAGCCCACACUGACUCCGGACCCCGGCGUGGGAGGGGCUGGCCCGAGAUGAAAUCUCGAAGGUGGGUCAGGCUAGGUCCUGGAGUCAGGGGAAGCGUGGGGUUCAGGCCAGGCCUGGGUUCUCCCUGAAGUGAGGCUGACUCUGAGCCUUUCUUGAAACCCCAAAUGUCACAGCAGUGCCCCGAAGGUAGGUGAGGCUCUGUUGCAGGGAAUGCUGAGGAAAAAGGGAACAUCAGGGAUUGGUCUGGCCUGAAGCCUGCACUCCCCUAAAUUAUACCCUGGUAUGAUUUGGGCUUGCCCUGGAGUUACCUCAACUAACCUGGGGUCCUUGGGGGAAACAGAGAUGGACAGGGUUGAUGUAUAUUUCGGGUUGAUUUGGACUCUAAGGAUUAUCCCAGCUCAGACCUCGCUCUCAAGGAAUAGGAGCCUGGCAUCUGUCUAUCACCCCCUUGGCCCUGGGUAUAGUCUGGAUGAGCAGAGGCACGCGUGUGGCCCCAAGAGUCCCACCCUCUGGCUCUCUCCUCCCAAGACAUUCUGGAGCCAUGACAUGUCUCCCAGGAAGGGAGAAUUAUUUUUGUCUGUGGCAUAAAUAAAGCCAGGAAUGAGUUCCAAUAAUCACAAGCACAUGCCAGCAUGUGGAGGCUACUCUGACAGCAGCAGAAGGUUCCAGCACUGCCUGCCCUGCUGGUCCUGGCUGCAGGGAGGUGACCGGGAUGGUCAGGGGUCGGGAGCAGGAGGGAGCCUCCAGGAUUUUAUUUAAAAUGAUCAGGUUUUUCAAACAAAUGGAAAAAUAAAAAAAUCUUGAAAACAAAUCUUUUAAAAAUUUACCCACUUCACUCCAGAUCUUAAGAAAUAAAAAUAAAACAUGACUAUUCCUCUAGAAUCCUGACCCAUACCAUACAACUCUCUUCCCAGAGGUCAUUGCCAACAUCGAUUUCUAUUUAUUUUUCUCAUGCUUGCUUUAAUAUUUCUACUAUAUAUGUAUGCAUCUAUAAAUAAACUCUAUGUGACAUUGUUUUGUGUUU